rnacentral:lncRNA from 1 species
AAGUAGAAAAGGUCAAACAAUAGUAUUUGUGGCUUUAAUGAGUUCAUGACAAAAUAGUAAAAUGAUAUAAAUCGAUAAUGAAAACUCAUACAGUAUUGAGGUUGAAUUAAGUAAAAAUUUUAAAGUUUAUGGUUAAAAUAAACUAAAAAUUAGUUUAAAGGCUUAGAUAGAAAAUAUCAAUUUGUAGAGUGAUUGAUACGUAUUCUGUUAAUAUU